GCCCUAGUCCUACGGGAUGCAGCAGGGCGCGAAACCUUUACAAUGCGCGAAAGCGUGAUAGGGGAACUCUGAGUGGCAGCCGGCUUUUGCCGACUGUCUUUUGGCAAACUUAAAACGUUUGCAGAAUAAGUUCUGGGUAAGACCAGUGCCAGCCGCCAUGUGCUUAAUUGCACAUUGCACACGGUACGCGGUAAUACUGGCAGAACGAGUGGUGUCCACGAAUAUUGGGUCUAAAGAGACCGUAGCUGGUCUGUUAAGUCCACUGUGAAAUCUUGGGGCUCAACCUCAAGGCGUGCAGUGGAUACUGGCAGACUCGAGAGCGGGGGAGGUCAGGGGUACUUACGGGGUAUGGGUAAAAUCAGUUGAUCCUGUAAGGACCACCAGUGGCGAAGGCGCCUGACCAAAACGCGUCUGACAGUGAGGGUCGAAGGCUAGGAGAACGAAUCGGAUUAGAUACCCGAGUAGCCCUAGCAGUAAAUUAUGCAGACUGUGGUGUUGCUCAAGCUUCGGGCUUGGGCAGUGCUGUAGCGUAGGUGUUAAGUCUGCCACCUGGGGAGUACGGCCGCAAGGUUGAAACUUAA
rnacentral:rRNA from 1 species